rnacentral:lncRNA from 1 species
AUCUGUCACCUCUGUGUAGAACAUGGUCUGUCUGGAGCCAGUCAGGCAUCCCUUCCCUGAUCACGUUGUACUCGCCAGGUGGGGUGGGUGUUGUCGAUGUGAUUAAGGACCCUAACCGGUGACUUGAGCUCAUCAGAAGGGAGAGCAUCCUAGGCGGGCAUGGCCCGAUCACGAAGCCCUCCAGAGGGUGUUUCAACGCCAGAAAGGGAGAAAUUCAGGCCAGUCCUGCUGGCCCUGAAGGGGAAGCAACCGCCAUGCUGGGAAGGGCCAACAGCCAGCAGGGAGGUGGGACCCAGUCCCCAGCCACCAGGAGCUGAAUUCUGCCAUAACCUCGUGAGCCGGGAAGACCCCAAGCCCCCAUGAGAUUGCAGAUCCGGCUGACAACCUGCCUGCAACCUGUCAAGGCCAAGCAG